AUUCAAGUUGGAAAAUGCGAAUGCGGCACUUUGAAGAGGAAUUUCCACGAUUGCCGCACGACGACGUCAUCCUCAGUCACAAACACACACGCACACAGACACAAUAAACCAGGUGUGCACGGAGAAUUCAAAUUCGUUGAGAUAUCGUUGUAAAUUAUGAAAGCAAUUUAUCAAGCGGAAAAGGGAAAUCGAAAGAGCUGGAUAAAAGGAGAAGCAAAAGGAGGAAGUACGCCACAAACAACAACCGCGACGGCGGUGGAGCGACAGAGAGAGCGCUACAGAUAAACGCGCAGAUCAGCGAAUACACAAGAGAGCGAAAGAGAUAGACAGACAGAGAGAGAGAGAAAGAGAGGGGAAGAGAGAACAAAUAAUUAUCUUUUCUCGCUGGAUAUCUUUUGUUUUUGACCUCUAGCAACUAUUCCCUCGAGCAUUUCUGUAGAGCGGAAAUCCCCAGAGGGAAAUGGACACCCGCGUGGAACUCGAACUGGCGCCGGUUGGCAACCAGGAUCGGCCAAAGGAGCAGCCGGAGGAUGAGAAGGAACCGCUGGAAAACCAGCUGGAGCUGGAGCAGAAGAGCCUGCUCACGCCGGCCAAGAUUCCCCCGGCUCAGACCGCAAGUUCCGAGCCCGUUACCCCACCACCCAUGAGCCUGCAGCCGGGAACUUCUCGGCAGCUCUUCAGGGAGGCCGCCAUGGCGCACGGAGGUCAGGAGACCACAUCCCUGCUGCAGCAGGAGCUGAACAGCAUAGCCGCCAACCAAACGCCGGCCUCGAAGCUCAGAAGCGCCAGCUCCACGCUGGAUGCCAGUAUUUCCCGGAAUCCCUCCACCACGGGCGGGAAGCACGAGAAGAAACUGGGCCACCGGAGAGUGGCGGAGGGCGGUGAGGUGACCUACAAGAAGAUCCAGUCCAAGCAAAUCAUGGGCUCCAUUCAGCUGGGCAUUCAGCAUACGGUGGGCAGCCUGGCCAGUAAGCCCAAGCGUGAUCUGCUAAUGAACGACUUCUGGGAAAUGGAAACGAUUGCGUUUCCGCCAGAUGGUUCCUCCAUAACACCUGCCCAUCACUACAACGACUUCCGAUUCAAGGUCUACGCACCCAUAGCCUUUCGCUACUUCCGGGAUCUGUUCGGAAUCGCUCCAGAUGACUUCCUCAUGUCCAUGUGUGCGUCUCCCCUUAGGGAGCUUUCCAAUCCUGGUGCCUCUGGUUCCAUAUUUUACCUGACGACCGACGACGAGUUCAUAAUAAAGACGGUGCAAAAGAAGGAGUGCGAGUUCCUGCAGAAACUUCUGCCCGGUUACUACAUGAAUCUAUCGCAGAACCCUCGGACGCUCCUGCCCAAGUUCUUCGGACUGUAUUGCUUCCACUACAACUCGAAGAACGUGCGGUUGGUGGCCAUGAACAACCUGUUGCCCUCCGACAUUAAGAUGCACUGCAAGUACGAUCUGAAGGGGUCUUCCUUCCGUCGUAAGGCCUCCAAGGCUGAGCGACAGAAGGCAAGUCCCACGUUCAAGGACCUCGACUUUGCCGAGCACCAUCCGAAUGGCAUAUUUCUGGAGACGGACAAGUACAAUGCGCUGAUGAGCACCAUCAAGCGGGACUGCAUGGUGCUGGAGAGUUUUCAGAUCAUGGACUACUCGCUGCUGGUAGGAAUUCACAACCUAGACCUGGCGGCCAAGGAGAAACGUGAGGAGCGGAUCCUAAAUGCGCGAGCCAAGCUGCAGCGGAAGGAAAGCGCCGCUCAGGGUCCUCCCUCCUUGAAUCCGGAUGACGAUGCUCCGGAAGCGGAUCAGAACCAGCUCCAAGCGGUGGCCUCAUACGCCUCCAUACCGGGAACUUCGGCUGGAGCGGCACUGAAUCGAACGCGCAGUAUGAAUCGUCAGCGUUUAGUGGCUCAUUCCACGGCUCUGGAGUCUAUUACGGCUGAUAUGGAUGUUCCGCUCGAGGAGGACGAGGACGUACCCGCCGGCGGCAUCCCGGCUCGGUCUGAAAACGAUGAACGAUUAAUCCUGUACAUCGGCAUCAUUGACAUUUUGCAGUCGUAUCGCUUGGAAAAGAAGCUGGAGCACACAUUCAAAAGCAUUCUGUACAACGGAGACACGGUGUCCGUCUGCCGGCCAUCAUUUUACGCCAAGCGCUUCCAGGAUGCCAUGGGCAAGCAGGUGUUCAAGAAGACGCCCACAUUUCCACUGAAACAUUCCCCCUCCAAGCGCAAGACCUCGACGACGCAACUGCGCUCGCCUGCAUCGCGUCUACCGUCAUUGAGUACACCAACAAGUGCAGUUCGUCAGCCGAUCAUGACGUUGUCGGGUAUGUCGACACCGCCGCCAGCCUUUGAUGACAUUUCGGAGGAGGACAUAACCGCGGCUUCCACUAGCUCGCUCCAGCAGCAGAGGAGCAGCAAUCAGUCGAAUAACAAUCGGGGCGAGACGGAGGUGGCCCUCAGGGAGGGAAGCAGCACGAGGGGCGGCAGCGGAGAGCCCAGCAGCACCUAUCACACUCAAUACUCGUACGACAGUUCCGGGCGAACAGGAAGCGCCUUGACCAGCGACUACAGCGACGACGAGUCCACGGGAACGGAUCUGAGCUCGCGGUUGCCCAAGCUGCGCACCCAUCGGCUAACAAAGACGAGUGUUCAGGUCACGACGGUGGGAUACGUGGAGGGGGUGGACUCUCCGCCGAAGGGCGCGCAGGAUGUGGUCCACGCAGAUGCCAACGGCAAGACCACCAUGACGACCACCACCAUGCUGACAACGACAAAGACGGCCCACAUCCAGGCGCCCAGCUACACGUCCACGCUCGUGCUCAACGAUCUGCCGCGUUGAUUUUCUGAGCGGGAUUCGGCGGGAUAUGAAAGGAAUGCUGAGCAGCAGCAUCAGCAGUGGGAGCAGGAGCAUGUAUAUAU
rnacentral:misc_RNA from 1 species